UUGCAGCCACAUCAGUUUGAAACACCGGUUUCCCAAUGAUCACCAAAGUUAAGCAACGUUGACCCUGGUCAGUACCUAGAUGGAUGACUGCUUGGGAAUACCAGGUGCUGUAAG